CUUAGAAGAGGUUCCUGGAGCAGUUUGGCAGGCUGGUUUCUUCUGAGAUACAUGAGAAGAGAUGGGAAAUAAAAGGGGAAAAAAAGGAAUCUUAGAAAGGAACUUUAAAAAUGCAACAUGAAUUCAAAGCAGAUCUUUAUUCCCCACUGACAAAGAGGUUAACGUAUUUAUAGAAAGCGAGAAAUAUCCCCCAUCCCACAAAUCAUUAAGAUUUACAGCAUUUCAUCCUCCCUGUGUGGAUAAAAUCAAGAACAUCGGAAGUUUUUCCAGGGAGAUGGGAAGAUGGUGCAGUCUAAAUUCACUGUUUGAUGUUCUGCACAAGAGUUGGCAGAGCUGCUUUCAUACCUAUCAAUUCUUGGUCUCCCGCUAUCCAUAUACGUGCUCCUUCAUGGGCUUGAGAAAUAAGUAAAAAAUAGUUAUUUUUCCACUACAUUUCUUGCUACAAGAAUGUACCCUCCUUCAGAAAAGGCAGCCUCGUGGCCAUCAGAGGGAUAUCAGAGACCAGGCAAAAGCCUUGACCUGUUGUUCCAUACCUAUUCCACGCUCUAUCACUCUUUCCAUCUGCAGCUAGCACAAAUUCCCUGCCAGAGCUAUGCUGACAUCCACAUCUUCCCAAUAAGAGCUUCAGCUGCAGUAAGAACAAGAUAUAUACCUCCUCGGGAGCAAUUUGUAGUUGUCUCUUUUGAGCCCUGUCCCAUCACACUUCCACUUGCUGUCAUGAUCAUUACAGCCCUGCUGUCUUCCCCCUUUUUAUACGUGUUUGAGCCUGGUUUAUGGCUGUUGCCCAGGAGAGUCAAUAAUGAGAGCCAUGUACUUGUGCUGAGAGUAAGCAAAAAUGAUACUUCCUGGGGUUGCCCUCUAAGAAAUCCCAGAGCUGGAUGCAUCUUCUGUGUUUGGACUCUGCUAAAGGUAAGGUUUUUUUUCCAUUGCCAAUGUGAAAAUCACACAGGAGCUCAUACUGCUUACCUUGCAGAAGCCAGUGUCCCUGCAUUUUGAUCAGGGACAUGAAAAGGCUUCCCAGAGAGUAACUUCUUGGCAUGGUGAAGAUUUCUAAUAAGAGCUGGCUUGGCAAAUAAAUAAAUAAAUGAAAUUGAUAUUAACGCCUGUUGAAGUUUUCUGGCUCAGCCUUCCUUAAAAGCUGACUCAGAUGAUAUACAAGAGUAAGAAAUAAUAUUGAAAACAAUCAGAUACUUAAAUUGUGGAGGAAAGAGUUGCAAUGACUACUUUGCUAAGGCAUACGCAUGUGGAAAAAGACAAGGGGGUGUCCUAGCAGCACAGCAUGCUUCACAGAACAGACUUUACAGAAAAGAACAAUCCUCCCCUUCUAGAUUAGUUGAAGAAGAAAAUAUCAAUGAAAACAAGAAUUCCAUAGCCCUGGAAAAGAUUUUUUAAUUUGAAAAUCAACAACAGCUUUUGAAGCCUGUGCCUGUCCUCAUGGUAAUGAUAAAUCUCCCCUGACCUGAGGACUCAGACUCUGCAGCAGUGAAUAGCAGCUGAAAUAACAGGCACGUGGAAAUGCUGCAGAGAAGGACACACAAGAAGCAUCUACAGCUCCAGGGGACUCGCGUGGAUCAUUUGGUGCCCAUUGCAGGUGGCUCAGUUUGUACUUCAGCAAGGAAGAAAUGUGGCUCCUCUUCAAGUCAUAUAUCACAUUGGAUAUUCUGGACAUCAGCAAUCAUGCAUCCUGCUGCAGCAUUCAGGUUUCUGCUUUAAGGACCCAGGUAUCAUAUAAUUUCCUGUGAGCUCAGUGGGUACAGGAUUUCACUCACACACACACAGAAUGAACAGAGAUAAACAGCCAAAAUUAGAGGAGGCUGCAUUUCCUACGGAUAAAUAUUAAUUCUACAGAGAAGUUAAUAAAACCGAUUUUCCUUUUAAGCAAACACAUUUUCACAAAACCUUUGGAAAAAACCCAACACAAACAUACCUGACAGAAUAUCUGAG
ensembl:lncRNA